GCCCGCUCAGAAACUACAAAGAAUUGACGGGGGCCCGCACAAGCGGAGGAGCAUGUGGUUUAAUUCGAUGAUACGUGAGGAACCUUACCUGGGCUUAAAUGCUUAAUGACGUACUGGGAAACUGGUAUUUCUUCGGACAUUUUGCAAGGUGCUGCAUGGUUGUCGUCAGCUCGUGCCGUGAGGUGUCGGGUUAAGUCCCAUAACGAGCGCAACCCCUAUUGUUAGUUGCCAUCAGGUCAUGCUGGAGACUCUAACAAAACUGCCCGCGUAAGCGUGGAGGAAGGUGGGGAUGACGUCAAAUCAGCACGGCCCUUACGUCCAGGGCUACACACGUGCUACAAUGGCCGGUACAGAGGGCAGCCACUUGGUGACAAGGAGCAAAUCUCAAAAGCCGGUCUCAGUUCGGAUCGGAGUCUGCAACUCGGCUCCGUGAAGUUGGAUUCGCUAGUAAUCGUAGAUCAGCAAUGCUACGGUGAAUACGUUCCCGGGCCUU
rnacentral:rRNA from 1 species